UUGGCCAACAACGCCAGCAGCACACUUCGUUGAAAUACCCUGUUUUGCAGAAUUGAACGGUGUGGCUUAUGAUAAAGGUCAGAACGCUACUCGAUUCUGCCAAGAAAACAGCACGUGGGCUCCACGAGCGAAUUAUUCGCUUUGUCAACCACUGACGCUUGGUGGCGAAUUUAUUCAGGGAUUAUGGAUUGCUAAAGAGGCAGCAUACAUUUACUACGCUGGGUAUGG